UACGAAGGGUGCAAGCGUUACUCGGAAUUACUGGGCGUAAAGCGUGCGUAGGCGGUUCGUUAAGUCCGUUGUGAAAGCCCUGGGCUCAAACCUGGGAAUGGCAGUGGACACUGGCGAGCUAGAGUGUGAUAGAGGAUGGUGGAAUUCCCGGUGUAGCGGUGAAAUGCGUAGAGAUCGGGAGGAACGCCAGUGGCGAAGGCGGCCAUCUGGAUCAACACUGACGCUGAGGCACG
rnacentral:rRNA from 1 species